rnacentral:rRNA from 1 species
AGCGAACGCUGGCGGCAGGCUUAACACAUGCAAGUCGAACGGAUCCUUCGGGAUUAGUGGCUGACGGGUGAGUAACACGUGGGAACGUGCCUUUUGGUUCGGAACAACACAGGGAAACUUGUGCUAAUACCGGAUGUGCCCUUCGGGGAAGGAUUAUCGCCAUUAGAGCGGCCCGCGUCUGAUUAGCUAGUUGGUGAGGUAAAGGCUCACCAAGGCUACGAUCAGUAGCUGGCUGAGAGGAUGAUCAGCCACACUGGGACUGAGACACGGCCCAGACUCCUACGGGAGGCAGCAGUGGGGAAUCUUGCGCAAUGGGGGAGACCCUGACGCAGCCAUGCCGCGUGAAUGAUGAAGGUCUUAGAUUGUAAAAUUCUUUCAGCGGGGACGAUAAUGACGGUACCCGCAGAAGAAGCU